CAAUGGAAGAAGAGAUGGCGGCACUCAUUGACAAUGGCUCUAGCAUGUGCAAAGCUGGCUUUGCUGGGGGAGCUGUUUUCCCCUCCAUCAUCUGGUGCCCCCGGCACCAGCACGUGAAGGGGGGCAUGAGCCAGAAGGAUUCCUACGUGAAUGACAAAGCCCAGAGCAAGCAUGGCAUCCUGACCCUGAGGUACCCCAUCGAGCAUGGCAUCGUCACUAACUGGGACGACAUGGAGAAGAUCUGGCAUCACACCUUCUACAAGGAGCUGUGCAUGGCCCUGGAGGAGCACAUGUUGCUGCUGACUGAGGCCCCUCUGAACCCCAAGGCCAACAGAGAAGAUGACUCAGAUCAUGUUUGAGACCUUCAACACCCCAGCCAUGUAUGUGGCCAUCCAGGCCAGUGCUGUCCCUCAACACCUCUGGGCACACCACUGGCAUUGUCAUGAACUGUAGAGAUGGGGUCACCCACAUGGUGCUCAUCUACAAGGGCUACAUUGUCCCCCAUGCCAUCCUGCCUCUGGACCUAGCUGGCUGAGACCUGACCCACUACCUCAUGAAGAGCACGGCUACAGCUUCACCACCAAGCACGGCUACAGCUUCACCACCACCGCCAAGGGGGAGAUCAUGCGUGACAUCAAGGAGAAGCUGUGCUACCGCAACCUGGACUUGAAGCAGGAUAUGGCCACCACCGCAUACUCCUCCUCCUUGGAGAAGAGCUACAAGCUGCCUGAUGGCCAGGUCAUCACCAUUGGCACCGAGCAGUUCCAGUGUCUGGAGGUGCUGUUCCAGCCUUCCUUCCUGGGCAGGGAAUCUUGUUGCAUCAGGAGACCACCUUCAACUCCAUCAUGAAGUGUGACAUGGACAUCUGCGAAGACCUGUAUGCCAACACGGUGCUGUCCAGCAGCACCACAAUGUACGUGGGUAUCGCCCACAGUAUGCAGAGGGAGAUUAUCGCCCUGGCAUCCAGCACCAUGAAGAUCAAGAUCAUCACACCCCCAGAGUGCAAGUACUCAGUGUGAAUCAGCAGCUCCAUCCUGGCCUCACUGUCCACCUUCCAGCAGAUGUGGAUUAGCAAGCAGGAGUAUGACAAGUCAGUACCCCCACGCCCCCA
rnacentral:lncRNA from 1 species